rnacentral:rRNA from 1 species
CGGAAAACUGGGGAUAAUACCCUAUAGGAUAUUGAUGUGGAAUGCGCGAUAUCUGAAAGUUGAGGCGCCGCAGGAUGGGUCUGCGGCCGAUUAGGUAGUUGUUGGGGUAACGGCCCAACAAGCCUGUAAUCGGUACGGGUUGUGGGAGCAAGAGCCCGGAGAUGGUUCUUGAACAUGAAAUCCAGCCCCUACGGGGGCAGCAGGGGCGAAAACCUUACAAUGCGGGAAACCGUGAUAAGGGAACCCCGAGUGCCCGUAGAAUCGGGCUGUUGAUCUGUGUAAAAAGCAGGUAAAGAAAGGGCCGGGCAAGACCGGUGCCAGCCGCCGCGGUAACA